rnacentral:misc_RNA from 1 species
CAACCCUCAAGCCCUCGCGGUUUGGUGUUGGCGGCCGGCUAGCCUGUCUAGCCGCCGCCGAAAUGCAGGGGCGGUCGCCUCGCGGUAACCAUUACGCAGUAGUAACAUCUCGUAACUGGGACGCGGAGCGGCCACGCCUAACCCCCAACAUCUCAAG